rnacentral:rRNA from 1 species
UACGUAGGGUGCGAGCGUUGUCCGGAAUUAUUGGGCGUAAAGAGCUCGUAGGCGGUGUGUCACGUCGGCCGUGAAAACCUGCAGCUUAACUGUGGGCUUGCGGUCGAUACGGGCAUCACUGGAGUUCGGCAGGGGAGACUGGAAUUCCUGGUGUAGCGGUGAAAUGCGCAGAUAUCAGGAGGAACACCCGUGGCGAAGGCGGCCAUCUGGACCAGCACUGACGCUGAGGCACGAAAGCGUGGGGAGCAAACAGG